rnacentral:rRNA from 1 species
UACGGAGGGGGCUAGCGUUGUUCGGAAUUGCUGGGCGUAAAGCGCACGUAGGCGGCUUUGUAAGUUAGAGGUGAAAGCCCGGGGCUCAACUCCGGAAUUGCCUUUAAGACUGCAUCGCUAGAAUUGUGGAGAGGUAAGUGGAAUUCCGAGUGUAGAGGUGAAAUUCGUAGAUAUUCGGAAGAACACCAGUGGCGAAGGCGACUUACUGGACACAUAUUGACGCUGAGGUGGCGAAAGCGUGGGGAGCAAACAGG